rnacentral:rRNA from 1 species
GUGUGUGAGUCAUCGAAUCUUUGAACGCACCUUGCGCCCUUUGGUAUUCCGAAGGGCAUGCCUGUUUGAGUGUCAUUAAAUUAUCAACCUUGUUCGCUUUUACGAGCUUGAGCGAGGCUUGGAUGUGAGGGCUUGCUGGCUUCCUUCAGUGGAUGGUCUGCUCCCUUUAAAUGCAUUAGUGGGAUCUCUUGUGGACCGUCACUUGGUGUGAUAAUUAUCUAUGCCAUUUGACUGUGAAGCAAAAUUAUGGGAACCUGCUUAUAACCGUCUCGCAAGGGACAAUUUAAUUGACUAUUUGACCUCAAAUCAGGUAG